UUGCGGAAUUUUGAGGUAAGCGAAAUUAUAUAUAUAUAUAUAUAUAUAUAUAUAUAUAUAUAUAUAUAUAUAUAUAUAUAUAUAUAUAUAUUUCGCUUACCUCAAGAUUCCGCAACAGUCUGUUUCAUCAAUAAAGAAUCAUCAGGCGGUACCGCGGAUACCGCCUGACGAUUCUUUAUUGAUGAAACAGACUG